AGGACGAACGCUGGCGGCGUGCUUAACACAUGCAAGUCGAGCGGAAAGGCCCUUCGGGGUACUCGAGCGGCGAACGGGUGAGUAACACGUGAGCAACCUGCCCCUGGCUCUGGGAUAGCCUCCGGAAACGGGGAUUAAUACCGGACAUGACCCUUGACCGCAUGGUUGGGGGUGGAAAGUUUUUCGGCCAGGGUGGGGCUCGCGGCCUAUCAGCUUGUUGGGGUGGUGACGGCCCACCAAGGCGACGACGGGUAG
rnacentral:rRNA from 1 species